rnacentral:rRNA from 1 species
GAUGAACGCUGGCGGCGUGCCUAACACAUGCAAGUCGAACGGAGCUGCUUUGAUGAAGUUUUCGGAUGGAUUUAAAACAGCUUAGUGGCGGACGGGUGAGUAACGCGUGGGUAACCUGCCUCACACUGGGGGAUAACAGUUAGAAAUAGCUGCUAAUACCGCAUAAGCGCACAGUUCCGCAUGGAACAGUGUGAAAAACUCCGGUGGUGUGAGAUGGACCCGCGUCUGAUUAGCCAGUUGGCGGGGUAACGGCCCACCAAAGCGACGAUCAGUAGCCGGCCUGAGAGGGUGAACGGCCACAUUGGGACUGAGACACGGCCCAAACUCCUACGGGAGGCAGCAGUGGGGAAUAUUGCACAAUGGGGGAAACCCUGAUGCAGCGACGCCGCGUGAGUGAAGAAGUAUUUCGGUAUGUAAAGCUCUAUCAGCAGGGAAGAAAGUGACG